AGCGAACGGGUGAGUAACGCGUGGGGAAUCUGCCUUUGAGCGGGGGACAACAUUUGGAAACGAAUGCUAAUACCGCAUAAAAACUUUAAACACAAGUUUUAAGUUUGAAAGAUGCAAUUGCAUCACUCAAAGAUGAUCCCGCGUUGUAUUAGCUAGUUGGUGAGGUAAAGGCUCACCAAGGCGAUGAUACAUAGCCGACCUGAGAGGGUGAUCGGCCACAUUGGGACUGAGACACGGCCCAAACUCCUACGGGAGGCAGCAGUAGGGAAUCUUCGGCAAUGGACGAAAGUCUGACCGAGCAACGCCGCGUGAGUGAAGAAGGUUUUCGGAUCGUAAAACUCUGUUGGUAGAGAAGAACGUUGGUGAGAGUGGAAAGCUCAUCAAGUGACGGUAACUACCCAGAAAGGGACGGCUAACUACGUGCCAGCAGCCGCGGUAAUACGUAGGUCCCGAGCGUUGUCCGGAUUUAUUGGGCGUAAAGCGAGCGCAGGUGGUUUAUUAAGUCUGGUGUAAAAGGCAGUGGCUCAACCAUUGUAUGCAUUGGAAACUGGUAGACUUGAGUGCAGGAGAGGAGAGUGGAAUUCCAUGUGUAGCGGUGAAAUGCAUAUAUAUAUGGAGGCACACCGGUGGCGAAAGCGGCUCUCUGGCCUGUAACUGACACUGAGGCUCGAAAGCGUGGGGAGCAAACAAGAUUAGAUACCCUGGUAGUCCACGCCCGUAAACGAUGAGUGCUAGAUGUAGGGCAGCUAUAAGUUCUCUGUAUCGCAACUAACGCAAUAAGCACUCCGCCUGGGGGAGUA
rnacentral:rRNA from 1 species